rnacentral:rRNA from 1 species
AUUGAACGCUGGCGGCGUGCCUAAUACAUGCAAGUCGAACGCAGUGGGGACGGGUGAGUAACACGUGGGUAACCUCCCAUCAGAGGGGAUAACACUUGGAAACAGGUGCUAAACCGAUAUUGAUGGAUGUACCCGGGGUGCAUUAGCAAGUUGGUGAGGUAACGGCGCACCAAGGCCACGAUGCAUAGCCGAGCUGAGAGGGUGAGCGGCCACACUGGGACUGAGACACGGCCCAGACUCCUACGGGAGGCAGCAGGAGGGAAUCUUCGGCAAUGGACGAAAGUCUGACCGAGCAACGCCGCGUGAGUGAAGAAGGUUUUCGGAUCGUAAAACUCUGUUGUUAGAGAAGCGGUAUCUAACCAGAAAGCAACGGCUAACUCCGUGCCAGCAGCCGCGGUAAUAC